rnacentral:lncRNA from 1 species
AAACAAAAGAUAAACGAAGGAAAACCUGGUUGCAGUUUCAGAUGAAUCGAAUCCUUGAAACCAUGCUCUACAAAUGCCAUGUGGGAAUAUUUUUGCUCAUGAUCAAAGUUGCAGCUUCGAUUGAAAAUGGUUUUGUCUUCAAUGGAAAUUUCGAUCUAGGUGGUGUAGCUGAGCUCUCUCAAAAGGGUCUCUUCAGGCUCACUAACUC